UUUACAGAUUUAAAAGAAAUUAAUAUUAAUGUAUUUAAUAGUGAUGAUUUACCUUUACAAGGACAUUAUCAAAAUGUUUAUAUUCUAAUGAAAACAAAAAUUAUAAUGUUAAUCAAGCAUUCAAAGAAGUCAGUUUCUAUUACAACUCCUAAAAAUUUAAAUCAACACCAAGAAGCCAAUUAGUAAUUCAUCAUCAUCAUUAAUAGAUUAUGUUGAUUUAGAAGAUAGUUAUAAAUCAUUUAAUGAAGAAAACAAUUCUAUUAAAAGUCUGGAGGCAUAUAAUGAUUCAAUAAUUGAUACUUAAGUCUAAGACAGUCACAGUUAUAACGCUACAAAAAAUGUAUGUGGAAACAUUGACAAAUAAGAUUCUGAACGUCAAGAUAGCUUAUAUACAAUGAUUUAUUAGAUAGCACAUAAAGUACAAAUAAUCAACCAGUGCCAAAUGAAAUUGAAGAAGCAUGCAACAUUCAGCUUAUUCCAAGGCUCCAAGCUGUAGUUAUCAUAAGAUAAUGUGCUGCUUCUUAAUAACCAAAAUAUACACUGCAAUACUACUAAUAAAAAUAUUGAAAUUAUUAUAAAUAAUAAACAGAUUACAGAGGUAGAUAUGAGGUAAACGGAAAUGUAUGAAUAACUGUAAACAUCUUGGAGAUGAAUAUAAAGAUUGAAAGGGUGAAACUAAAACUAUAAAAGUUUUUAAGCUUCUCACAACUACAUGUUGUAAAAAAAG